GUGAGGAAUAUUGGUCAAUGGGCGCAAGCCUGAACCAGCCAUGCCGCGUGCAGGAAGACGGUCCUAUGGAUUGUAAACUGCUUUUAUUUGGGAAUAAACCUCCUUACGUGUAGGGAGCUGAAGGUACCAAAUGAAUAAGCACCGGCUAACUCCGUGCCAGCAGCCGCGGUAAUACGGAGGGUGCAAGCGUUAUCCGGAAUCAUUGGGUUUAAAGGGUCCGCAGGCGGUCAUAUAAGUCAGUGGUGAAAGCCUACAGCUCAACUGUAGAACUGCCAUUGAUACUGUAUGACUUGAAUUCGAUCGAAGUGGGCGGAAUGUGACAUGUAGCGGUGAAAUGCUUAGAUAUGUCACAGAACACCGAUAGCGAAGGCAGCUUACUAAGGUGUCAAUGACGCUGAGGCACGAAAGCGUGGGGAUCAAACAGGAUUAGAUACCCCAGUAGUCC
rnacentral:rRNA from 1 species